rnacentral:rRNA from 1 species
GGUUAAGCGACUAAGCGUACACGGUGGAUGCCCUGGCAGUCAGAGGCGAUGAAGGGCGUGCUAAUCUGCGAUAAGCGCCGGUAAGGUGAUAUGAACCGUUAUAACCGGCGAUACCCGAAUGGGGAAACCCAGUGUGAUUCGUCACACUAUCAUUAACUGAAUCCAUAGGUUAAUGAGGCGAACCGGGGGAACUGAAACAUCUAAGUACCCCGAGGAAAAGAAAUCAACCGAGAUUCCCCCAGUAGCGGCGAGCGAACGGGGAGGAGCCCAGAGCCUGAAUCAGCAUGUGUGUUAGUGGAAGCGUCUGGAAAGGCGCGCGAUACAGGGUGACAGCCCCGUACACAAAAGCGCAUGUGUUGUGAGCUCGAUGAGUAGGGCGGGACACGUGGUAUCCUGUCUGAAUAUGGGGGGACCAUCCUCCAAGGCUAAAUACUCCUGACUGACCGAUAGUGAACCAGUACCGUGAGGGAAAGGCGAAAAGAACCCCGGCGAGGGGAGUGAAAAAGAACCUGAAACCGUGUACGUACAAGCAGUGGGAGCACCCUUUGGGGUGUGACUGCGUACCUUUUGUAUAAUGGGUCAGCGACUUAUAUUCUGUAGCAAGGUUAACCGAAUAGGGGAGCCGGAGGGAAACCGAGUCUUAAUUGGGCGUUAAGUUGCAGGGUAUAGACCCGAAACCCGGUGAUCUAGCCAUGGGCAGGUUGAAGGUUGGGUAACACUAACUGGAGGACCGAACCGACUAAUGUUGAAAAAUUAGCGGAUGACCUGUGGCUGGGGGUGAAAGGCCAAUCAAACCGGGAGAUAGCUGGUUCUCCCCGAAAGCUAUUUAGGUAGCGCCUCGUGAAUUCAUCUCCGGGGGUAGAGCACUGUUUCGGCUAGGGGGCCAUCCCGGCUUACCAACCCGAUGCAAACUGCGAAUACCGGAGAAUGUUAUCACGGGAGACACACGGCGGGUGCUAACGUCCGUCGUGAAGAGGGAAACAACCCAGACCGCCAGCUAAGGUCCCAAAGUCAUAGUUAAGUGGGAAACGAUGUGGGAAGGCCCAGACAGCCAGGAUGUUGGCUUAGAAGCAGCCAUCAUUUAAAGAAAGCGUAAUAGCUCACUGGUCGAGUCGGCCUGCGCGGAAGAUGUAACGGGGCUAAACUAUGCACCGAAGCUGCGGCAGCGACACUAUGUGUUGUUGGGUAGGGGAGCGUUCUGUAAGCCUGUGAAGGUGUGUCGUGAGGCAUGCUGGAGGUAUCAGAAGUGCGAAUGCUGACAUAAGUAACGAUAAAGCGGGUGAAAAGCCCGCUCGCCGGAAGACCAAGGGUUCCUGUCCAACGUUAAUCGGGGCAGGGUGAGUCGACCCCUAAGGCGAGGCCGAAAGGCGUAGUCGAUGGGAAACGGGUUAAUAUUCCCGUACUUGGUGUUACUGCGAAGGGGGGACGGAGAAGGCUAUGUUGGCCGGGCGACGGUUGUCCCGGUUUAAGCGUGUAGGUGUGUGUUCCAGGUAAAUCCGGUUCACUUUAACACUGAGGCGUGAUGACGAGGCACUACGGUGCUGAAGCAACAAAUGCCCUGCUUCCAGGAAAAGCCUCUAAGCAUCAGGUAACAUCAAAUCGUACCCCAAACCGACACAGGUGGUCAGGUAGAGAAUACCAAGGCGCUUGAGAGAACUCGGGUGAAGGAACUAGGCAAAAUGGUGCCGUAACUUCGGGAGAAGGCACGCUGACACGUAGGUGAAGUGAUUUACUCAUGGAGCUGAAGUCAGUCGAAGAUACCAGCUGGCUGCAACUGUUUAUUAAAAACACAGCACUGUGCAAACACGAAAGUGGACGUAUACGGUGUGACGCCUGCCCGGUGCCGGAAGGUUAAUUGAUGGGGUCAGCGCAAGCGAAGCUCCUGAUCGAAGCCCCGGUAAACGGCGGCCGUAACUAUAACGGUCCUAAGGUAGCGAAAUUCCUUGUCGGGUAAGUUCCGACCUGCACGAAUGGCGUAAUGAUGGCCAGGCUGUCUCCACCCGAGACUCAGUGAAAUUGAACUCGCUGUGAAGAUGCAGUGUACCCGCGGCAAGACGGAAAGACCCCGUGAACCUUUACUAUAGCUUGACACUGAACAUUGAGCCUUGAUGUGUAGGAUAGGUGGGAGGCUUUGAAGCGUGGACGCCAGUCUGCGUGGAGCCGACCUUGAAAUACCACCCUUUAAUGUUUGAUGUUCUAACGUGGACCCGUGAUCCGGGUUGCGGACAGUGUCUGGUGGGUAGUUUGACUGGGGCGGUCUCCUCCUAAAGAGUAACGGAGGAGCACGAAGGUUGGCUAAUCCUGGUCGGACAUCAGGAGGUUAGUGCAAUGGCAUAAGCCAGCUUGACUGCGAGCGUGACGGCGCGAGCAGGUGCGAAAGCAGGUCAUAGUGAUCCGGUGGUUCUGAAUGGAAGGGCCAUCGCUCAACGGAUAAAAGGUACUCCGGGGAUAACAGGCUGAUACCGCCCAAGAGUUCAUAUCGACGGCGGUGUUUGGCACCUCGAUGUCGGCUCAUCACAUCCUGGGGCUGAAGUAGGUCCCAAGGGUAUGGCUGUUCGCCAUUUAAAGUGGUACGCGAGCUGGGUUUAGAACGUCGUGAGACAGUUCGGUCCCUAUCUGCCGUGGGCGCUGGAGAACUGAGGGGGGCUGCUCCUAGUACGAGAGGACCGGAGUGGACGCAUCACUGGUGUUCGGGUUGUCAUGCCAAUGGCACUGCCCGGUAGCUAAAUGCGGAAGAGAUAAGUGCUGAAAGCAUCUAAGCACGAAACUUGCCCCGAGAUGAGUUCUCCCUGAGACUUAAAGUCUCCUGAAGGAACGUUGAAGACGACGACGUUGAUAGGCCGGGUGUGUAAGCGCAGCGAUGCGUUGAGCUAACCGGUACUAAUGAACCGUGAGGCUUAACCUU